AGCUCCAAUAGCGUAUAUUAAAGUUGUUGCAGUUAAAAAGCUCGUAGUUGAACUUCAGGCCUGGCCGGGCGGUCCGCCUAACGGUGUGUACUGUCUGGCUGGGUCUUACCUCUUGGUGAACCUGCAUGCCCUUCACUGGGUGUGUAGGGGAACCAGGACUUUUACCUUGAGAAAAUUAGAGUGUUCAAAGCAGGCCUACGCCCGAAUACAUUAGCAUGGAAUAAUAGAAUAGGACGUGCGGUCCUAUUUUGUUGGUUUCUAGGAUCGCCGUAAUGAUAAAUAGGGACAGUUGGGGGCAUUUGUAUUGCGUCGCUAGAGGUGAAAUUCUUGGAUUGACGCAAGACAAACUACUGCGAAAGCAUUUGCCAAGGAUGUUUUCA
rnacentral:rRNA from 1 species